GUUAGGAAUAUUCGUCAAUGGGGGAAACCCUGAACGAGCAAUGCCGCGUGAGUGAUGACGGUCCUUUGGAUUGUAAAACUCUGUUGUUAGGGAAGAACGACCUAUGUAGGAAAUGACAUAGGAGUGACGGUACCUUUCAAGAAAGCUCCGGCUAACUACGUGCCAGCAGCCGCGGUAAUACGUAGGGAGCGAGCGUUAUCCGGAUUUAUUGGGUGUAAAGCGUGUGUAGGCGGUUUAUUAAGUCUAAGGUUUAAGCCUGGAGCUCAACUCCAGUUCGCCUUAGAAACUGAUUUACUUGAGUGUGGUAGAGGCAAGUGGAAUUUCUAGUGUAGCGGUAAAAUGCGUAGAUAUUAGAAGGAACACCAGUGGCGAAGGCGACUUGCUGGGCCAUUACUGACGCUGAGACACGAAAGCGUGGGGAGCAAAUAGGA
rnacentral:rRNA from 1 species